rnacentral:rRNA from 1 species
AUUGAACGCUGACGGCAGGCUUAACACAUGCAAGUCGAGCGGGGUGAUGGUGCUUGCACUAUCACUUAGCGGCGGACGGGUGAGUAAUGCUUAGGAAUCUGCCUAUUAGUGGGGGACAACAUCUCGAAAGGGAUGCUAACACCGCAUACGUCCUACGGGAGAAAGCAGGGGAUCACUUGUGACCUUGCGCUAAUAGAUGAGCCUAAGUCGGAUUAGCUAGUUGGUGGGGUAAAGGCCUACCAAGGCGACGAUCUGUAGCGGGUCUGAGAGGAUGAUCCGCCACACUGGGACUGAGACACGGCCCAGACUCCUACGGGAGGCAGCGGUGGGGAAUAUUGGACAAUGGGGGGAACCCUGAUCCAGCCAUGCCGCGUGUGUGAAGAAGGCCUUAUGGUUGUAAAGCACUUUAAGCGAGGAGGAGGCUCUUUUGGUUAAUACCCAAGAUGAGUGGACGUUACUCGCAGAAUAAGCACCGGCUAACUCUGUGCCAGCCGCCGCCGUAA